GACGAACGCUGGCGGCGUGCUUAACACAUGCAAGUCGAACGGAAAGGCCCUGCUUUUGUGGGGUGCUCGAGUGGCGAACGGGUGAGUAACACGUGAGUAACCUGCCCUUGACUUUGGGAUAACUUCAGGAAACUGGGGCUAAUACCGGAUAGGAGCUCCUGCUGCAUGGUGGGGGUUGGAAAGUUUCGGCGGUUGGGGAUGGACUCGCGGCUUAUCAGCUUGUUGGUGGGGUAGUGGCUUACCAAGGCUUUGACGGGUAGCCGGCCUGAGAGGGUGACCGGCCACAUUGGGACUGAGAUACGGCGCAGACUCCUACGGGAGGCAGCAGUGGGGAAUAUUGCACAAUGGGCGGAAGCCUGAUGCAGCAACGCCGCGUGCGGGAUGACGGCCUUCGGGGUGUAAACCGCUGUCGCCUGUGACGAAGCGUGAGUGACGGUAAUGGGUAAAGAAGCACCGGCUAACUACGUG
rnacentral:rRNA from 1 species